GUAGGUUUCCAAUUUCCUAAAAGAAUUGGUGGUGCGGAUGGGAUAACUCCCGCCCAGUUUCUUGCCUCUGGUCAAAGGGCAAGUGGCGAGCCUGGCA
rnacentral:ncRNA from 1 species